GACGAACCGUGCGAACGUUGUUCGGAUUCACUGGGCUUAAAGGGCGCGUAGGCGGGCGGUCAAGUCAGGGGUGAAAUCUUUCGGCUCAACCGGAAAAGUGCCUUUGAUACUGGCCGUCUCGAGGGAGGUAGGGGUAUGCGGAACUUCCGGUGGAGCGGUGAAAUGCGUAGAUAUCGGAAGGAACGCCGGUGGCGAAAGCGGCGUGCUGGACCUCUUCUGACGCUGAGGCGCGAAAGCCAGGGGAGCAAACGGG
rnacentral:rRNA from 1 species